rnacentral:rRNA from 1 species
UACGGAGGUUGCAAGCGUUGUUCGGAAUGACUGGGCGUAAAGGGAGCGCAGGCGGCCAAGUCAGUCUGAAGUGAAAGCCCGGGGCUUAACCCCGGAAUAGCUUUGGAUACUGCCUGGCUUGAGUGUGCGAUAGGAAAGCGGAAUUCCAGGUGUAGCGGUGAAAUGCGUAGAUAUCUGGAGGAACACCGGUGGCGAAAGCGGCUUUCUGGCGCAUAACUGACGCUGAGGCUCGAAAGCGUGGGGAGCGAACGGGAUUAGAUACCCCGGUAGU